UACGAAGGGGGCUAGCGUUGUUCGGAAUCACUGGGCGUAAAGCGCACGCAGGCGGAUCGUUAAGUCAGGGGUGAAAUCCCGGGGCUCAACCCCGGAACUGCCUUUGAUACUGGGUAUCUCGAGUCCGAGAGAGGUGAGUGGAAUUCCGAGUGUAGAGGUGAAAUUCGUAGAUAUUCGGAGGAACACCAGUGGCGAAGGCGGCUCACUGGCUCGGUACUGACGCUGAGGUGCGAAAGCGUGGGGAGCAAACAGG
rnacentral:rRNA from 1 species